GGGUUGUGAGGUUAAGCGACUAAGCGUACACGGUGGAUGCCCUGGCAGUCAGAGGCGAUGAAGGGCGUGCUAAUCUGCGAUAAGCGCCGGUAAGGUGAUAUGAACCGUUAUAACCGGCGAUACCCGAAUGGGGAAACCCAGUGUGACUCGUCACACUAUCAUUAACUGAAUCCAUAGGUUAAUGAGGCGAACCGGGGGAACUGAAACAUCUAAGUACCCCGAGGAAAAGAAAUCAACCGAGAUUCCCCCAGUAGCGGCGAGCGAACGGGGAGGAGCCCAGAGCCUGAAUCAGCAUGUGUGUUAGUGGAAGCGUCUGGAAAGGCGCGCGAUACAGGGUGACAGCCCCGUACACAAAAGCGCACAUGCUGUGAGCUCGAUGAGUAGGGCGGGACACGUGGUAUCCUGUCUGAAUAUGGGGGGACCAUCCUCCAAGGCUAAAUACUCCUGACUGACCGAUAGUGAACCAGUACCGUGAGGGAAAGGCGAAAAGAACCCCGGCGAGGGGAGUGAAAAAGAACCUGAAACCGUGUACGUACAAGCAGUGGGAGCACCCUUUGGGGUGUGACUGCGUACCUUUUGUAUAAUGGGUCAGCGACUUAUAUUCUGUAGCAAGGUUAACCGAAUAGGGGAGCCGGAGGGAAACCGAGUCUUAAUUGGGCGUUAAGUUGCAGGGUAUAGACCCGAAACCCGGUGAUCUAGCCAUGGGCAGGUUGAAGGUUGGGUAACACUAACUGGAGGACCGAACCGACUAAUGUUGAAAAAUUAGCGGAUGACCUGUGGCUGGGGGUGAAAGGCCAAUCAAACCGGGAGAUAGCUGGUUCUCCCCGAAAGCUAUUUAGGUAGCGCCUCGUGAAUUCAUCUCCGGGGGUAGAGCACUGUUUCGGCUAGGGGGCCAUCCCGGCUUACCAACCCGAUGCAAACUGCGAAUACCGGAGAAUGUUAUCACGGGAGACACACGGCGGGUGCUAACGUCCGUCGUGAAGAGGGAAACAACCCAGACCGCCAGCUAAGGUCCCAAAGUCAUGGUUAAGUGGGAAACGAUGUGGGAAGGCCCAGACAGCCAGGAUGUUGGCUUAGAAGCAGCCAUCAUUUAAAGAAAGCGUAAUAGCUCACUGGUCGAGUCGGCCUGCGCGGAAGAUGUAACGGGGCUAAACCAUGCACCGAAGCUGCGGCAGCGACACUCAGGUGUUGUUGGGUAGGGGAGCGUUCUGUAAGCCUGCGAAGGUGGCCUGUGAGGGUUGCUGGAGGUAUCAGAAGUGCGAAUGCUGACAUAAGUAACGAUAAAGCGGGUGAAAAGCCCGCUCGCCGGAAGACCAAGGGUUCCUGUCCAACGUUAAUCGGGGCAGG
rnacentral:rRNA from 1 species